CCAAGCGCGGAAGGGCGCGUGGUGGAUGCCUAGGCGCGGGCAGGCGAUGAAGGACGUGGCAAGCUGCGAUAAGCCGAGGGGAGCCGCAGGCGGGCUGAGAUCCUCGGAUGUCCGAAUGGGGGAACCCGGCGGGCGUAGUGGCCCGUCAUCCUGGGGCGGAAGUCUCAGGAGGCCAACCCGGGGAACUGAAACAUCUCAGUACCCGGAGGAAGAGAAAUCAAGCGAGAUUCCCUGAGUAGCGGCGAGCGAAAGGGGAGGAGCCCAAACCGUAGGUCGUUGAGGCCUGCGGGGUUGUGGGGCCGGUGUGGGGCGUAGCCCGUCUCUUGUCGUAUGCGAGCCGAAGCGGUCUGGAACGACCCGCCGUAGGAGGUGAGAGCCCUGUAGGCGGAGCGUGCGGCGGGAGGUGGCACCGGUACCCGAGUAGGCCGGGGUUCGAGGAGCCCUGGCUGAAUCUGGGGGGACCACCCUCCAAGGCUAAAUACUCGCCCGCGACCGAUAGUGCACGAGUACCGUGAGGGAAAGGUGAAAAGAACGCCGGGAGGCGAGUGAAAGAGAACCUGAAACCACGUGCCUACAAGCGGUGGGAGCCUGGUAUGGUCCUUCGGGAUCGUGCUGGGUGACUGCGUGCCUUUUGCAUUAUGAUCCGGCGAGUUGUCCUCGCGGGCGAGGCUAAGGUGUUCAGCACCGGAGCCGGAGCGAACGCGAGUCUGAAGAGGGCGUGGCUCUCGUUGGAGAGCCGGAGUCCGCGGGGGCAGACCCGAAACCUCAGCGAUCUACCCAUGGCCAGGCUGAAGCUGGGGUAAAGCCCAGUGGAGGGCCGAACCGGUGUGGGUUGAAAACCGCUCGGAUGAGCUGUGGGUAGGGGUGAAAGGCCAAUCAAGCUGGGAGAUAGCUGGUUCUCCCCGAAACGUAUUGAGGUACGGCCUCGGGGCGUGUCUCCGGGAGGUAGAGCACUGCAUGGGCGAGGGGGGUUCGCACCCUACCGACCCCAAGCAAACUCCGAAUGCCCGAGAGAUGGACCCCGGGAGACAGUGCACGCGGGCUAAUCUGCGUGCGCGAGAGGGUAAGAACCCAGACCGUCGGCUAAGGUCCCGGAGUGCGGGCUCAGUGGAGAAGGAAAGGAUGUGGAUUCGCUCAGACAGCUGGGAGGUUGGCUUAGAAGCAGCCAUCCUUUAAAGAGUGCGUAAUAGCUCACCAGUCGAGCGGAUCUGCGCCGAAAAUGGUCGGGACUUUGAAGCCCGCCGCCGAAGCCACGGAUGGUGCGUCUUUGGGCGUGCCAUGGUAGGGGAGCGUCCCCUGGGCAGAGAAGGCAGGCUGGGAAGCGCUGCUGGAGCGCAGGGGAGUGAAGAUGCCGGAAUGAGUACGCGCGAAGGAGGGGGAGGAUCCCUCCCACCGAAAGCCUAAGGGUUCCGGAGCCAGGGUCAUCCGCUCCGGGUCAGCCGGCCCCUAAGCCGAGGCCGAGAGGCGUAGGCGAUGGGAAACGGGUGAAUAGUCCCGUGCCGGGUGAGGUGCGUCUGACCGCAAGGGGGGACGCGGAAGCAGAAGGGCCGUCGGGCGUUGGUUGUCCCGAUCCAACGGCGUAGCCUGGCCGGGGAGGCAAAUCCCCCCGGCUAGAGGUGAGACCGGACGGCGAAGGGGGAGGACUCCCCCGCAAAGGGCCCUCGAGGCAUGCCGCCAAGAAAAGCCUCGUGCGGGAGUGCCUCAUCCGACCGUACCGCAAACCGACACAGGUAGGCGAGGCGAGAAGCCUAAGGUGCUCGAGUGAUCCGUGGAGAAGGAACUCGGCAAAAUGACCCCGUAACUUCGGGAGAAGGGGUGCCCGUGGUAGGUGAGGCUCUCACGCAGGGCCGAGCCGAAGCGGGCCGCAGAGAAUCGGCCCAAGCGACUGUUUAGUAAAAACACAGGUGCCUGCCAAGUCGUCGGAAGACGCCGUAUAGGCACUGACGCCUGCCCGGUGCCGGAAGGUUAAGGGGAGGGGUCAGGGAUCCUUCGGGAUCCCGAAGCUCUGAACCGAAGCCCCGGUAAACGGCGGCCGUAACUAUAACGGUCCUAAGGUAGCGAAAUUCCUUGUCGGGUAAGUUCCGACCUGCACGAAUGGCGUAACGACUUGGGCGCUGUCUCCUCCACGGGCUCGGCGAAAUUGGAGUAUCGGUGAGGAUACCGAUUACCCGCGACAGGACAAAAAGACCCCGUGCACCUUUACUGCAACCUGCCGCUGGGUUUCGGCGCUUCGUGCGUAGGAUAGGUGGGAGCCUGCGAAGGAGGGCCUCCGGGUCCUCUGGAGGCAACGGUGAAAUACCACCCUCGGGGCGUAGGAAUCCUAACGGCGCCCGGUGAAGCCCGGGCCCGGACCACGGCAGGCGGGCAGUUUGACUGGGGCGGUCGCCUCCUAAAAGGUAACGGAGGCGCGCGAAGGUGCCCUCAGCGCGGUCGGCAAUCGCGCGUCGAGUGCAAAGGCAGAAGGGCGCCUGACUGCGAGACCGACAGGUCGAGCAGCUGCGAAAGCAGGCCUUAGUGAUCCGGUGGUCCCGCGUGGAAGGGCCAUCGCUCAACGGAUAAAAGGUACGCCGGGGAUAACAGGCUGAUCGCCCCCGAGAGUUCACAUCGACGGGGCGGUUUGGCACCUCGAUGUCGGCUCAUCGCAUCCCGGGGCCGGAGAAGGUCCCAAGGGUCGGGCUGUUCGCCCGUUAAAGCGGUACGUGAGCUGGGUUUAGAACGUCGUGAGACAGUUCGGUCUGUAUCCGUCGCGGGCGCAGGAGCGCUGCGGGGCGCCGUCCCUAGUACGAGAGGACCGGGAUGGACGGACCUCUGGUGUACCGGCUGUCUGGCCUCAGGCAGCGCCGGGUAGCCACGUUCGGACGGGAGAACCGCUGAAAGCAUCUAAGCGGGAAACCCCCCCCAAGAUGAGCGCUCCCGGGUCGCAAGACCCCUGAAGGGCCGUCCGAGACGAGGACGUCGAUAGGCGGCAGGUGUAAGCACGGUAACGUGCUCAGCCAAGCCGUACUAAUCGCCCGUGUGGCUUGGCCUC
rnacentral:rRNA from 1 species